CGGGUGGGGAGGCGGCGUGGGCGGCCCUGUCAAUCUUUGCUUCUUCACUCGCUGAUACUCCAAGAAGCUAAGGGCAGGACAGGUUCCGUUCACUCGUUCAUUCGACAGACGUUCAUUGAGCUUGAGCUAUGCUUGGCCCCAUGCUUAGGCACGGGGUUCUGGCGGCGCUGGAUCCGAACCCUGCACUCACCGGUUAUUGUGAGUUAGUGUAGGAUGGCCAUGCAUUCCGGGUUACGUCCGUGGAACUGGUAUGGAGAAACUGGCUCAGAAAAGUUGAGACUUGCCCAAGGCCAAACAGCUAAGUGCUGGAACGAGGAUCCAGACCCAAGUCUAUGUGGCUUCCAAAAUCCAAGUGCCCUAUCUUAUUCUUCCUUCUCAAAACAGAUGAUAUUAAUUUCCUGUGCCACUUCCCAUGCCAGGAGGGCCCGUCCUCCAUGUCUACCCAUCUCUCAAGCUCCAGCUCAUAAAGUCUGCUUGGAACAGCGCCAGCCAAAUCUGAUUCCUCUCUCCUCUGAAAGCCCAGCACACUCAGUCUGUACCUUUCUCAGGACACAGCAUGUGGCCUGUCUCAUAUUCUAGUGAUCUGUUUACUAAUCCUGUUCUUUUAACCAGAUUAGAAAGUCCUUGAGGUAGAAACAAAGUCUGCUUCUUUGAGGCCUCCCCCCAUGGCUUGAGCUCAUCCCCCACAGGCCAAGCUUGGCACUGGAGUUGAUGUUCAAUAAAUGCUCGGUGUAUUGAAAUGA